UGCCAGACUCCUACGGGAGGCAGCAGUGGGGAAUAUUGCACAAUGGGGGAAACCCUGAUGCAGCGACGCCGCGUGAGCGAUGAAGUAUUUCGGUAUGUAAAGCUCUAUCAGCAGGGAAGAAAAUGACGGUACCUGACUAAGAAGCCCCGGCUAACUACGUGCCAGCAGCCGCGGUAAUACGUAGGGGGCAAGCGUUAUCCGGAUUUACUGGGUGUAAAGGGAGCGUAGACGGCAUGGCAAGCCAGAUGUGAAAUACCGGGGCUCAACCCCGGGACUGCAUUUGGAACUGUUAAGCUGGAGUGUCGGAGAGGCAGGCGGAAUUCCUAGUGUAGCGGUGAAAUGCGUAGAUAUUAGGAGGAACACCAGUGGUGAAGGCGGCCUGCUGGACGAUAACUGACGUUGAGGCUCGAAAGCGUGGGGAGCGAACAGGAUUAGAUACCCUCGUAU
rnacentral:rRNA from 1 species